CAGCAGUGAGUCAAUUCAGAGUAGUUCACCAAAUAAUGAGUGUGCAAAUACUGCAUUCCUCAAACCAGUCUCUUGGGGAAAAAGUACUGGUAGAGGCACAUGGUCUAACCAGACACACAUUUGAUAUGUCGUGUUAGAUACAACUCAUCUGUACAACUAAUCUAAUAGAAGAAUCAAGGAGGAAAAAGGUAAUCAGGAAGGAAAAAUCUCUAAAGAGGAAGAGAUAUUUCAGUUGGUCUUUGAAAGAUAAGACCCAUUUUGACACUCAGGCAAGGGGAAGAGAAUAGAGAAAACAUUCGGUGGAGGAAUAUGGUGAAAAAGAACUUGGGUUGUGGAGAAUGUGAGAUAGCACAAUUUACAAAAUCGUAAGUUGCCUGAGAGAGGGUUUGAAAUGCAAGGUGGGCCCAUGUGAAGGAAUUUAACUUCUGUGUAAACAACAUAAAACUGGGACUCUGUCUCUAGACAUACCACUAACACAAAGGGUGUUCAGAUCGGCUUUUCUUUUUUCAUGUAAAACUAGAAUGCCAUCUAUAGCUGGUAGUUGUACUUGACAAAGGUCACCUAUUAUGGCUUGUAACUAGGGAUGUGACAGUGUACUUGGACACAACCCCUUUAACAGGAAUGUGCGUUUUUACACACUGAGUCUCAGCAGUACAGGCAUGCUCACUUUGCAGUAGGACCUGGGGCUGUUGAUUCCUAUUCUGGGUAGAAUUUUCUUCCUAUGGUUCCCUCCAACUCCAUGGUUUUAGUUUAUGUUCCCAGAGCCUAGGUCAACUUUCAAAAGGCAAACUUCAUUAAUCCACCUGGUUUCUGUCUUCAGAACAACUGCUUAGAGUCCAUUGAGUUGCACUGCAGGAAAGAGGUAUGAGGCAGGCCUGCUGUCUUUAAGGAAACAACCUCUCCUGUGAUGUCCCACUAAUGACAGCUCCACUUGUGUACACACUUCCUGAAUGACAGCUUUUCCUGGGCCGCCUGUGCUCUUCUCUCUUUCAGUGAGCAGCUGGUGGGUUGAAGAGCACUUUCCAUUUUCACGAUUUGUGGUAGAUGGUCAAGCUAAUGGAGAGCAGCAUCUUUUUCCAGCCUUCCUUACCAAGCUCCUGUUCCUACUUGCAUUGCUUUUCCAGGCGCAGAUGAGACCCGCAGCUUUAGUCUGCCUUCCCCUGUUCCAAAUAUCAGGUGUCACAAGGAGAGGAGGAAGGGGGCUGAGAGCUAGAAACCUCCAGCAUCCAUGCUUGCAAUCUUUCACCCUGAACAGGACGGACUCCAGAAUUCUGGCAUCUGCUCCUGCCUCAGUUAUUGCUUCUUUCUUUCCCGUAUGCAUCCAGCGCUCUCCCAAGUGCUGUGGGAGAUUCUGGACAAUGAGAGAUAGCAUGCAUUUGUGGUCAAAUGCACAUAACCCAGACCCAGACUGUGUUUAAAUGGUAAUUCUCUGUGCAACUCUGGGAAGAAUACUCAGCCUUCCUGUCACUCAGUUUCCUCAUCUGUGAAAUGAAGUGGGUGAUAUAAGUACCUUUCCCAUAGGGUUCUUAUAACUAUUAAGUAAAUUAAGAUAUGCAUAAAUUACUCAGGACAGGAUAGCAUAUGGCACAGGAAAAAAACAUUUCCUAAAUCUGGGGCACUAUUUAUCAUUAUUAGGUUAUAAUACCAAUAACUGAAAUAAAAAACAGAAAUGGCAAAUGUUAACGUAGACUCAGUAAAUGAAGUGAUGUGACAAUUAAAAUAGUUGGAGGGAGUGAACUCAGAGAAGAAUUUACAAAGGCAGAAGUAUUUAAAUAAAUGUUGAAUGGACCUAUGUUCUAAUCCCUUUAGUUAAAAGUUCUGAGGACUCCCCUGAUGACAAAGCUAUCUUACAUCUAACCCAUGGAUCGUCAAGGUUUUCAAACCAUGUGACAUUUGGAGCUUUUAUACUGUAGAAAUAAGGGACUUGCUGAAUUCUCCAGAUCAUUCUUUUGUUAUAGAUGAAAAUUAGAGUGAUUUAAUUACUUCUACUGUACAUGUGCUACUAUAAUGUAAACACACCUUACAGAGACUAGCAUUUUCUCUUCUAUUUUGAAAUGGCGUAUUUUUUUACAUUUUUUUUAAAAAGAGUAUUCAUUGUCUCUGUCGUGAUUUUUAGAAGUUUCCUAUAUUAGCACUAGUAUAGUAGUAUGAGGUUUUCAUCCAGACAUACAGUGUCGGGAGUUCCCUUCAUGGCUCAGCAGUUAAUGAACCCAGCUAGGAUCCAGGAGGAUGUGGGUUCGAUCCCUGGCCUCGCUCAGUGGGUUAAGGAUCCGGUGUUGCCCUGAGCCAUGGUGUAGGUCGCAGACGCGGCUCAGAUCCUGCGUUGCUGUAGCUGUGGUGUAAGCCAAAAAAACAAAGCAAAACAAAACGAACCAUACAGUGUCUUCCAAUAUUCAUCACUACUAUAGAAACUUGAAAUUCAAAACUUGCCAAUCUUACGCUAACUAAAAACAUCAUCAUCCUUCACAGUCCACGGUAAACUAUGGGUUUAUUUAUUGCUAAACCCUGGGUCAAAAACUGUGUUUCUCUUCAUUCUCCUUAUCACUGUCUGGUAGGUUUUGACUUCCAUUACGUCUCAUCAAAAUAAUUAUGAACAUUUUCUAAAUGGCCAUCUAAUCCAUUCUCUAUACUGGUGUCAUCUUUAUCGUAAUGAUUAUCUGAUUAAGCCAUUCUCAAAUCCUCUGGAAAUUCUCUAUCUUCUAUAAGGAUAACUUAUAGAAGUUAUAACUCCCAAACUGCUUAGUAGGAUAAACAAAAUCCUUCCAUUUCUCCUCCAAGGUAUCUCACCAGCUGAAUCUCCUACAACAGCACACAUACUGUGUUCCACCUAUAUGUAUAUAUUUGCCUUUUCUAAAUGCACCAAGACAUUUCAAACCAUAUUCACAUAUAAUAUAUCCGCCUGGUAAACUUCUGUUUAUCUUUGAAAACAUCUCAAAUAUUACUUCAACACUGGAAACAUUUUGAAAUGCUCUCAAGUGCAUAGUUGCUAUUUUCUCUAUGUUCAUGUAGCAUUUUAAUAUGCACUGCCUUGUUGCACUUAAUAUGCUGUAUUCUUUUCAUUUGGGUGUAUUUAAUUACAAGCAAGGACAAGUAUAUUUAAUAUGUUCAUUCAUCAUUUAUAUUGUUAAAUUCAUAAAUUGUAUAGUUCCUUUUGCCCACUUUUCUCUUCUACCGUUGGUCUUUUCCUUACUGAUUUAAACCUCUUUAUACAUUAAGACAAGUAGGGGAGUUCCUGUCGUGGCACAGUGGUUAACGAAUCUGACUAGGAACCAUGAGGUUGCAGGUUCAAUCCCUGGCCUUGCUCAGUGGGUUAAGGAUCGGGUGUUGCCGUGAGCUGUGGUGUAGGCUGCAGAUGUGGCUCAGAUCUGGUGUUGCUGUGGCUCUGAGGCCAGCAGCUGUAGCUCUGAUUAGACCCCUAGCCUGAGAACCUCCAUAUGCCGAGGGUGCGGCCCUAAAAAG
rnacentral:lncRNA from 1 species